rnacentral:rRNA from 1 species
GCAGCAGCCGCGGUAAUACGAAGGGUGCAAGCGUUACUCGGAAUUACUGGGCGUAAAGCGUGCGUAGGUGGUGGUUUAAGUCCGUUGUGAAAGCCCUGGGCUCAACCUGGGAAUUGCAGUGGAUACUGGGUCACUAGAGUGUGGUAGAGGAUAGUGGAAUUUCCGGUGUAGCAGUGAAAUGCGUAGAGAUCGGAAGGAACAUCUGUGGCGAAGGCGACUAUCUGGGCCAACACUGACACUGAGGCACGAAAGCGUGGGGAGCAAACAGGAUUAGAUACCCGAGUAGUCCCUGUCUCUUAUAC